rnacentral:rRNA from 1 species
GGACUGCGGCCGAUCAGGCUGUUGGCGGGGUAAUGGCCCACCAAACCUGUAACCGGUACGGGCUUUGAGAGAAGGAGCCCGGAGAUGGACACUGAGACAAGGGUCCAGGCCCUACGGGGCGCAUCAGGCGCGAAAACUUCGCAAUGCGCGAAAGCGUGACGAGGCUAGUCCGAGUGCUUCCUGCUAAAGGGAGCUUUUCUCGGCUGUAAAUAAGCCGGGGAAUAAGGGGAGGGCAAGUCUGGUGUCAGCCGCCGCGGUAAUACCAGCUCCUCGAGUGGUCGGGACGAUUAUUGGGCCUAAAGCACCCGUAGCCGGUUCAGUAAGUCCUCUGUCAAAUCCAGCCGCUCAACGGCUGGCCCGCAGAGGAUACUGCUAGACUAGGAGGCGGGAGAGGCGGACGGUACUCCGCGUGUAGGGGUAAAAUCCUUUGAUCCGCGGAAGACCACCAGUGGCGAAGGCGGUCCGCCAGAACGCGCUCGACGGUGAGGGGUGAAAGCUGGGGGAGCGAACCAGAUUAGAUACCCGGGUAGUCCCAGCCGUAAACGAUGCGAGCUAGAUGAUUCGAUCGCAGUUCGCGAUCGAAGUGUCGCAGGGAAGCCGUUAAGCUCGCCGCCUGGGGAGUACGGUCGCAAGGCUGAAUUGUUGCCGAAUUCUUCGGCAGCACAGUUCACUUAAAGGAAUUGGCGGGGG